CAGAGAGAUUUAUGAAGUCUGCAGCUCCCGUUCAGUGCGCAGUGCAUCAGCAGAGCGCCAGCAGCUGGCUCAAAGGACGAACAGCAGGUUGCCAGACUGAGCCUCAGAGCUAUUUUAAACCGAUUUCUCUCGUUCAAAAAAACGGUGAUGUCAGCAGAGACUGGUCUACUUGUUGGAUGAAUCUCAUUCAUGUGGUAGUAAAGUCCUCUCUUUGCGAGGACGGAAGUUAAGUCACAUGCGCAUUGACAAGCUGGAGGGCUGCGUAAUGGAGAUCGUGGGAAAGGACAAUAAUUUGUGAACUGCGUACGGGAAUGUCAGGAGGGAAGCGUUCGUUUGAUACCCCGUGAGGGCACCCAGGUGAAUCAUCUGAGCAGCAAUGAAGACGCACCUAGCAGCGUCUGUUUCCAGCUUUAGCGCGCACGGACUAUGAAUGAGGAAUGACCAAUGCCUCUUCUUUGCAUCAGUCUCCUUGUUCUUGUGCUUCUACCACUGUCACUCUGCUGUGACAAAAACUUAUCGGCAUUUCAAGACCUUAGUAUGAUUUUACCAGCACAAAUGGAAAAUAUCAGGAAAAAUCUGACAAAGGAACUGAAAGACAUAUCCUGCCAAGAGCUGAAAAACAAAGUGCCAAACUGUACGGUGCAAACAGAGGAAGCUGAUAUCAUGGAAACCUUGUUCUUGCAAGCCUGUGAUAUGCUUCGUCUUCAAC